UAGAGCCAAACAAAGAUUUAUUUUUUUGUACGUAAUUAUAUUGAAUUGAUUCGAUUCUCACAAAUGUUACCAACAAUUAUGAACCUAAUUCCAUUCUAUAUGCUGCGAAAUUAGUCCAUGUCAAAUGGAAAAUUUCUAAUCUUUGAAUCUCACACAAAGGCUGAGGUAAUCCAAGUGCCAUAUAAUGUACAUAUACAGAGUAUUCAAUUAAUUUUGGUUACAUGGUGUCUAGAAGAUGAUGAAGUAGAUGUCACUUCAGACCUUGAUUUAAUUAAUUGAUUUCAUAGGAAUUAAGAUCAUCUAGUGACUUUCUUUGGUUUAGAUGAAAAGUGUUUAAUUGCUUGUGAUACUACGUUUACUUGUUUAUUCUUGAUCACGAAUAGGAAUUAAUACAAGUUUGAGUAUUUAUUGCGUAUAAUGGUACUGUGAUUUGUUUAGUUAAAUCAAGAAUGGGAUUGAUACUAAUUUUUGUUCCAAAUUUCUAUUGUGUGCAUAUUCAAAAAUACGAUUGGCCGAAUGACUAGACAAAUUGAUCACCUUUUUACUCUUGCAAAGACAGCUAAUAGUGAAUCAUUUUGUGAGAACUGCGUGAUCAUUUUAGUGGUAUCCAUGUUCUUGCAUCACUAUCUUUGUGUUUGUUAAACAUUAGUAAUACAAUUUAUUUAUCUGCACUUUUAAGUAGAAAUGUUUUUCCAUUUCAUUUGAAGAUGUGAACAAAUAGGGUAACCUAUCCUACAACAGACAAGUUUAGCUAUGGAUUUAAAAAUUUCAUUGUUUGUCUAGUGAUUUACCCUUUGUCAUUGUUACCUUAAGUUUAUCUGAUUUUCUUGCGUAAUGUUUUUUAGAUCGCAGGCCACUGUGUAAAUGGAUAAAAAAAUUAUGCAUAGUUUCUUGAGCUAUGUUGUCUAUAAUUUGUACUCGAACUGUACCUAAAGUGACAAAAAAUUACUGAUAGCUUACAAAUGGUUAUGCAUAGUAGAGACUGGGGCCUCCAACUAGGGUUGGUAAUUUAUCGGGUCGGGUCAAGCUAAGCUUUAAUCCGACCCUAUAACACAACUAAAGGGCCCUAGCCUUACAAAAAGUCCUAUUAUUUCACCUUAGGGUCGGGUCAGACUCGACCCUAAAAGGGUUAGGGUCGGCCUUUAUUUUUAAAAUUUUUGGCCUGAUUUUUUACCCUUAACUUCGGGCCAAAGCCCUCAAAAUUUGGGUCAGGCUAAUCGGGCCAAAAAUCGGGUCGGACUUUUUUGCCAUCCCUAUCUCUAACUCAUCGGAGUUUAGAAAUAUCUUCCGCCCCCACCUCUUCUUUUUUGAAAAGCAAGAGUGGUGUAACAAUGGAGACUUGUUCUAGUAAUUUGUUUAUAUUUUAGAGAGAUAUAUCUAUAUUUUUAUAAUGUCUACUCAUUUUAAGGUUUUUAGAUUAGUCAAUCAUUUCUAAUUCAUAUUCCACACUUUUAUUACAAUGUAAAUAAACAUUCUACAUCCACUUCCAGUUCCAUACUACUAAUCUUGUUUGUUGGAAUAAGGGUAGGGGAUAGAAAGCAGUAAGUUGCCUAAUGUAAAACAAAAUUAUGUUGAAAGUUCAUAAAGUUAUUGGCCAUUAUAUUUUUUCUUAAUAGGUUUUGGAAUAGUACAUAAAUUAAGAAAAAAAAAUUACAGUAGCAACUUCUAAAUAGGAUUGCCAAUGGGAUGGGAUGAGACAAAAUUGGUCUAUCUCAGUCCUAUCAUGUAUAUGCAAGUGA
rnacentral:lncRNA from 1 species